AUGCUUAACACAUGCAAGUCGAACGGAAACGAAAGUAGCUUGCUACUAGGCGUCGAGCGGCGGACGGGUGAGUAAUGCUUAGGAAUCUACCAAGUAGUGGGGGAUAGCCAUUGGAAACGAUGAUUAAUACCGCAUAUAUCCUACGGGGGAAAGCAGGGGACCUUCGGGCCUUGCGCUAUUUGAUGAGCCUGAGUGAGAUUAGCUUGUUGGUGAGGUAAAGGCUCACCAAGGCGACGAUCUCUAGCUGGUCUGAGAGGAUGAUCAGCCACACUGGGACUGAGACACGGCCCAGGCUCCUACGGGAGGCAGCAGUGGGGAAUAUUGCACAAUGGACGAAAGUCUGAUGCAGCCAUGCCGCGUGUGUGAAGAAGGCCUUCGGGUUGUAAAGCACUUUCAGCGAGGAGGAAAGGUUAGUAGUUAAUAACUGCUAGCUGUGACGUUACUCGCAGAAGAAGCACCGGCUAGUUUAGUGCCAGCAGCCGCGGUAAUACUAAAGGUGCAAGCGUUAAUCGGAAUUACUGGGCGUAAAGCGCGCGUAGGUGGUUUGUUAAGUUGGAUGUGAAAGCCCAGGGCUCAACCUUGGAACUGCAUUCAAAACUGACUCACUAGAGUACGAGAGAGGUUAGUGGAAUUUCCUGUGUAGCGGUGAAAUGCGUAGAGAUCUGAAGGAACACCAGUGG
rnacentral:rRNA from 1 species